AGCUAAUGUCAUUAUAUGACUAAUCCAGACGAAUGAUGGUCUUCAAAUGAUUUUCGCAACUUUUCAUGAUUUUGAAAUCUUUCACCCGCUAAAUUAUCCAAUAUCAGACAGUAUGGCCUGAAAUUAUAAAUAAUUGUGUCAAAAGAUAAAGUAUAAUGUGAAAAAACAUCUUGAACAUUCCAUCAACUGUUAGAAUAGCCAACUACCUCACCUAACAUAAUGGUGAACCAACAACAACCAAAGAAGAUUACUACCAAGGGGAAAGAAAUUGUGCAAAGAAAAAGUAGUACAACAAUAGCUCAUAUGCAGAUCAAUGCCAAAGCACAAAACAAAGGAAAAGUGACCAAGCAAAUCUAUAUACCAAUCAAUCAAGUUCCUAGACCACAGAGACAACCUACUACAAGAACAGCUGAGACAACUAACAACAUGGGGGAGAACAAGGAUAACAGAGGAACUAAUACUAUAACAAAAAUUGUGAAGGAAAAGAAUCUCCAGGUGAUGAACAUGGGAGAUGAGUUACUAGCUAGAACAGAACAAUUUCCUGAAAAUCAGAGAAAACCUAUAACAAUUGCAGCUGAGACAAAUAAUACAAUGAGCGAGAAUAAGGAAAAUGGAAGGGCUGAUUCUGUAAUAGAAGCUGAGAAAGAAAAGAAUCUCCAGGAUCCAGAAUCACCUAGCAUCUUCCAGAUGAUGAAUAGGGGAGAAGAACUAUUGGUUAGAAUGUGAUAGCAUCCUAGGAAGUUCAACUCUAUUCAAGGACAUGGAUGAAGCUUUUGAAUCUCAAAGAUGGCCUUUAAUAAGAGUUCAAGCUAAGGAAUUACAAAACAAGAUCAUUAGACUUCAAGUGCAAAUGAAGAAGUUAUUAAUUGGGAGGAAGAGCUCAAGGAUAAAGGAUGUGAAUUGGCUAGGUGAUAGCAUCAAGGACAAGGAUAGAGUUUUGGAAGCUCCAAGGCCAUAUACAAGAUCUCAAGCUAAAGAGUUGCAAACUAAGGUUGCUAGACUUCAAUGGCAAAUAAAGAAGCUUUCAAUUGUAGAGGAAGAGCUCAAGACCAAAGGAAAUAAAUUUUCCAAAUUUUACAAUUAUAUGGUGGUCCAAAUUGAAGUCCAAGAGGAGGAAGAUCGGGUCACCAAAUUAGCCCUUGAAAUCCAUCAAAAAGGGCU
rnacentral:lncRNA from 1 species